GACGAACGCUGGCGGCGUGCCUAAUACAUGCAAGUAGAACGCACAGUUUAUACCGUAGCUUGCUACACCAUACACUGUGAGUUGCGAACGGGUGAGUAACGCGUAGGUAACCUGCCUGGUAGCGGGGGAUAACUAUUGGAAACGAUAGCUAAUACCGCAUAAUAUUGAUUAUUGCAUGAUAAUUGAUUGAAAGAUGCUAUUGCAUCACUACCAGAUGGACCUGCGUUGUAUUAGCUAGUAGGUGAGGUAACGGCUCACCUAGGCGACGAUACAUAGCCGACCUGAGAGGGUGAUCGGCCACACUGGGACUGAGACACGGCCCAGACUCCUACGGGAGGCAGCAGUAGGGAAUCUUCGGCAAUGGACGAAAGUCUGACCGAGCAACGCCGCGUGAGUGAAGAAGGUUGUCGGAUCGUAAAGCUCUGUUGUAAGAGAAGAACGGGUGCGAGAGUGGAAAGUUCACACUGUGACGGUAUCUUACCAGAAAGGGACGGCUAACUACGUG
rnacentral:rRNA from 1 species